CCUANGGGGGGCUGCAGUUAGGAAUUUUGCGCAAUGGGGGAAACCCUGACGCAGCAACGCCGCGUGAGUGAUGAAGGCCUUCGGGUUGUAAAACUCUUUUAGCUGGAACGAAAAAAAUGACGGUACCAGCAGAAAAAGCACCGGCUAACCCUGUGCCAGCAGCCGCGGUAAUACAGGGGGUGCAAGCGUUAUUCGGAAUUAUUGGGCGUAAAGAGCGUGUAGGUGGUUUACUAAGUCUGGUGUGAAAGCCCUGGGCUCAAUCCAGGAAGUGCAUUGGAUACUGGUAGACUAGAGUAGAGGAGAGGAUGGCGGAAUUCCAGGUGUAGAGGUGAAAUUCGUAGAUAUCUGGAGGAACAACAGUGGCGAAGGCGGCCAUCUGGACUCUUACUGACACUAAGGCGCGAAAGCGUGGGGAGCAAACAGGAUUAGAUACCCCGNUANUC
rnacentral:rRNA from 1 species